rnacentral:sRNA from 2 species
GUUCUGUUUUGCUCAUUUUAAGGUAUCCAAUGAACCUGGGAAUCGCUACAACCUCCAGCUCAUCAAUGCACUGGUGCUCUAUGUCGGGACUCAGGCCAUUGCGCACAUCCACAACAAGGGCAGCACACCUUCAAUGAGCACCAUCACUCACUCAGCACACAUGGAUAUCUUCCAGAAUUUGGCUGUGGACUUGGACACUGAGGGUCGCUAUCUCUUUUUGAAUGCAAUUGCAAAUCAGCUCCGGUACCCAAAUAGCCACACUCACUACUUCAGUUGCACCAUGCUGUACCUUUUUGCAGAGGCCAAUACGGAAGCCAUCCAAGAACAGAUCACAAGAGUUCUCUUGGAACGGUUGAUUGUAAAUAGGCCACAUCCUUGGGGUCUUCUUAUUACCUUCAUUGAGCUGAUUAAAAACCCAGCGUUUAAGUUCUGGAACCAUGAAUUUGUACACUGUGCCCCAGAAAUCGAAAAGUUAUUCCAGUCGGUCGCACAG